AGCGAACGCUGGCGGCGUGCCUAACACAUGCAAGUCGAACGUGAAAGGGAGCAAUCCCAAGUAAAGUGGCGUACGGGUGAGUAACACGUAGGUAAUCUACCCCAGAAUCUGGACUAACCGGCCGAAAGGCUGGCUAAUACUGGAUAGAGCGACGGAAUCCGUAAUUGGGUUUUUCGGGAAAGGGAGCCUGUAAAAAGGCCUUCGUUCUGGGAUGAGCCUGCGUCCCAUCAGCUAGGUGGUGAGGUAAAAGCUUACCAAGGCAAUGACGGGUAGCUGGGCUGCGAGAACGGUCAGCCACCCUGGAGCUGAAAAACCAUCCAGAUUCCUACGGGCGGCAGCAGUAGGGAAUCUUGCGCAAUGGACGAAAGUCUGACGCAGCAACGCCGCGUGAGUGAAGAAGGCCUUCGGGUUGUAAAGCUCUGUCGAGUGGGACGAAAAUGCUUGGAGUUCACAGCUCCAGGAACUGACGGUACCACUAAAGGAAGCACCGGCUAACUCCGUG
rnacentral:rRNA from 1 species